rnacentral:rRNA from 1 species
AGCCUUAGGGAUGUAUCUAAGGUCAAGCCUGCCCAAUGUUACAAUGAAUGGCCGCAGUACCUUAACUGUGCGAAGGUAGCGUAAUCAGUUGGCUUUUAAAUGGAGUCUUGUAUGAAAGGAACCACGUGGUAUAGCUGUCUCAGUUUUGUUUCUUUUAAUUUGCUAAGAAGGUGAAAAAUCCUUUUUCGUGAAAAAAGACGAGAAGACCCUUAGAGUUUUUAUUAAAGUUUGCUAAGCAGACUAAAUUUUUGUUGGGGCGACAAGGGAACAAAUGUAACUUCCUUGUUUACAUGACGGUAUUUUCAAGUAAGAUUAAACUACCUGAGGGAUAACAGCAUAAUUCUUUUGAGUUUGUGACCUCGAUGUUGGACUAGGAACUUCUCAGACUAACCGUCUGUUUUUGUGGCUCUGUUCGAGCUUUUCUUCCU